rnacentral:rRNA from 1 species
GCCUUACACAUGCAAGUCGAACGGCAGCACGGAGCAAUCCUGGUGGCGAGUGGCGAACGGGUGAGUAAAGUAUCGGAACGUACCUUCAGUGGGGGAUAACGUAGCGAAAGUUACGCUAAUACCGCAUAUUCUGUGAGCAGGAAAGCAGGGGAUCGCAAGACCUUGCGCUGAUUGAGCGGCCGAUAUCAGAUUAGCUAGUUGGUGGGGUAAAGGCCUACCAAGGCGACGAUCUGUAGCGGGUCUGAGAGGAUGAUCCGCCACACUGGAACUGAGACACGGUCCAGACUCCUACGGGAGGCAGCAGUGGGGAAUUUUGGACAAUGGGGGCAACCCUGAUCCAGCCAUGCCGCGUGAGUGAAGAAGGCCUUCGGGUUGUAAAGCUCUUUCGGCCGGGACGAAAUCGCACGGGCUAAUAUCCUGUGUGGAUGACGGUACCGGAAUAAGAAGCACCGGCUAACUACGUGCCAGCAGCCGCGGUAAUACGUAGGGUGCGAGCGUUAAUCGGAAUUACUGGGCGU